GACGAACGCUGGCGGCGUGCUUAACACAUGCAAGUCGAACGGAAAGGCCCUGCUUGCAGGGUACUCGAGUGGCGAACGGGUGAGUAACACGUGGGUGAUCUGCCCUGCACUUCGGGAUAAGCCUGGGAAACUGGGUCUAAUACCGGAUAGGAGCCAUUUUUAGUGAUGGUUGGAAAGUUUUUUCGGUGUAGGAUGAGCUCGCGGCCUAUCAGCUUGUUGGUGGGGUAAUGGCCUACCAAGGCGGCGACGGGUAGCCGGCCUGAGAGGGUGGACGGCCACAUUGGGACUGAGAUACGGCCCAGACUCCUACGGGAGGCAGCAGUGGGGAAUAUUGCACAAUGGGCGCAAGCCUGAUGCAGCGACGCCGCGUGGGGGAUGACGGCCUUCGGGUUGUAAACUCCUUUCGCUAGGGACGAAGCUUUUUGUGACGGUACCUAGAUAAGAAGCACCGGCUAACUACGUG
rnacentral:rRNA from 1 species